CAGCAGCCGCGGUAAUACGAAGGGUGCAAGCGUUACUCGGAAUUACUGGGCGUAAAGCGCACGUAGGCGGACUUUUAAGUCAGGGGUGAAAUCCCGGGGCUCAACCCCGGAACUGCCUUUGAUACUGGGAGUCUUGAGUUCGAGAGAGGUGAGUGGAAUUGCGAGUGUAGAGGUGAAAUUCGUAGAUAUUCGCAGGAACACCAGAGGCGAAGGCGGCUCACUGGCUCGAUACUGACGCUGAGGUGCGAAAGCGUGGGGAGCAAACAGGAUUAGAUACCCCCGUAGUCCCUGUCUCUUAUAC
rnacentral:rRNA from 1 species